rnacentral:rRNA from 1 species
UUAAGCGACUAAGCGUACACGGUGGAUGCCCUGGCAGUCAGAGGCGAUGAAGGACGUGCUAAUCUGCGAUAAGCGUCGGUAAGGUGAUAUGAACCGUUAUAACCGGCGAUUUCCGAAUGGGGAAACCCAGUGUGAUUCGUCACACUAUCAUUAACUGAAUCCAUAGGUUAAUGAGGCGAACCGGGGAACUGAAACAUCUAAGUACCCGAGGAAAAGAAAUCAACCGAGAUUCCCCAGUAGCGGCGAGCGAACGGGGAGCAGCCCAGAGCCUGAAUCAGUGUGUGUGUUAGUGGAAGCGUCUGGAAAGGCGCGCGAUACAGGGUGACAGCCCCGUACACAAAAAUGCACAUACUGUGAGCUCGAUGAGUAGGGCGGGACACGUGGUAUCCUGUCUGAAUAUGGGGGACCAUCCUCCAAGGCUAAAUACUCCUGACUGACCGAUAGUGAACCAGUACCGUGAGGGAAAGGCGAAAAGAACCCCGGCGAGGGGAGUGAAAAAGAACCUGAAACCGUGUACGUACAAGCAGUGGGAGCCUCUUUUAUGGGGUGACUGCGUACCUUUUGUAUAAUGGGUCAGCGACUUAUAUUCUGUAGCAAGGUUAACCGAAUAGGGGAGCCGAAGGGAAACCGAGUCUUAACUGGGCGUUAAGUUGCAGGGUAUAGACCCGAAACCCGGUGAUCUAGCCAUGGGCAGGUUGAAGGUUGGGUAACACUAACUGGAGGACCGAACCGACUAAUGUUGAAAAAUUAGCGGAUGACUUGUGGCUGGGGGUGAAAGGCCAAUCAAACCGGGAGAUAGCUGGUUCUCCCCGAAAGCUAUUUAGGUAGCGCCUCGUGAAUUCAUCUCCGGGGGUAGAGCACUGUUUCGGCAAGGGGGUCAUCCCGACUUACCAACCCGAUGCAAACUGCGAAUACCGGAGAAUGUUAUCACGGGAGACACACGGCGGGUGCUAACGUCCGUCGUGAAGAGGGAAACAACCCAGACCGCCAGCUAAGGUCCCAAAGUCAUGGUUAAGUGGGAAACGAUGUGGGAAGGCCCAGACAGCCAGGAUGUUGGCUUAGAAGCAGCCAUCAUUUAAAGAAAGCGUAAUAGCUCACUGGUCGAGUCGGCCUGCGCGGAAGAUGUAACGGGGCUAAACCAUGCACCGAAGCUGCGGCAGCGACACUGUGUGUUGUUGGGUAGGGGAGCGUUCUGUAAGCCUGUGAAGGUGUGCUGUGAGGCAUGCUGGAGGUAUCAGAAGUGCGAAUGCUGACAUAAGUAACGAUAAAGCGGGUGAAAAGCCCGCUCGCCGGAAGACCAAGGGUUCCUGUCCAACGUUAAUCGGGGCAGGGUGAGUCGACCCCUAAGGCGAGGCCGAAAGGCGUAGUCGAUGGGAAACAGGUUAAUAUUCCUGUACUUGGUGUUACUGCGAAGGGGGACGGAGAAGGCUAUGUUGGCCGGGCGACGGUUGUCCCGGUUUAAGCGUGUAGGCUGGUUUUCCAGGCAAAUCCGGAAAAUCAAGGCUGAGGCGUGAUGACGAGGCACUACGGUGCUGAAGCAACAAAUGCCCUGCUUCCAGGAAAAGCCUCUAAGCAUCAGGUAACAUCAAAUCGUACCCCAAACCGACACAGGUGGUCAGGUAGAGAAUACCAAGGCGCUUGAGAGAACUCGGGUGAAGGAACUAGGCAAAAUGGUGCCGUAACUUCGGGAGAAGGCACGCUGAUAUGUAGGUGAAGUCCCUCGCGGAUGGAGCUGAAAUCAGUCGAAGAUACCAGCUGGCUGCAACUGUUUAUUAAAAACACAGCACUGUGCAAACACGAAAGUGGACGUAUACGGUGUGACGCCUGCCCGGUGCCGGAAGGUUAAUUGAUGGGGUCAGCGCAAGCGAAGCUCUUGAUCGAAGCCCCGGUAAACGGCGGCCGUAACUAUAACGGUCCUAAGGUAGCGAAAUUCCUUGUCGGGUAAGUUCCGACCUGCACGAAUGGCGUAAUGAUGGCCAGGCUGUCUCCACCCGAGACUCAGUGAAAUUGAACUCGCUGUGAAGAUGCAGUGUACCCGCGGCAAGACGGAAAGACCCCGUGAACCUUUACUAUAGCUUGACACUGAACAUUGAGCCUUGAUGUGUAGGAUAGGUGGGAGGCUUUGAAGUGUGGACGCCAGUCUGCAUGGAGCCGACCUUGAAAUACCACCCUUUAAUGUUUGAUGUUCUAACGUGGACCCGUGAUCCGGGUUGCGGACAGUGUCUGGUGGGUAGUUUGACUGGGGCGGUCUCCUCCUAAAGAGUAACGGAGGAGCACGAAGGUUGGCUAAUCCUGGUCGGACAUCAGGAGGUUAGUGCAAUGGCAUAAGCCAGCUUGACUGCGAGCGUGACGGCGCGAGCAGGUGCGAAAGCAGGUCAUAGUGAUCCGGUGGUUCUGAAUGGAAGGGCCAUCGCUCAACGGAUAAAAGGUACUCCGGGGAUAACAGGCUGAUACCGCCCAAGAGUUCAUAUCGACGGCGGUGUUUGGCACCUCGAUGUCGGCUCAUCACAUCCUGGGGCUGAAGUAGGUCCCAAGGGUAUGGCUGUUCGCCAUUUAAAGUGGUACGCGAGCUGGGUUUAGAACGUCGUGAGACAGUUCGGUCCCUAUCUGCCGUGGGCGCUGGAGAACUGAGGGGGGCUGCUCCUAGUACGAGAGGACCGGAGUGGACGCAUCACUGGUGUUCGGGUUGUCAUGCCAAUGGCACUGCCCGGUAGCUAAAUGCGGAAGAGAUAAGUGCUGAAAGCAUCUAAGCACGAAACUUGCCCCGAGAUGAGUUCUCCCUGACCCUUUAAGGGUCCUGAAGGAACGUUGAAGACGACGACGUUGAUAGGCCGGGUGUGUAAGCGCAGCGAUGCGUUGAGCUAACCGGUACUAAUGAACCGUGAGGCUUAACCU